UGAUACUUAAUUUCUUACCAGUUCUGAAAUGAUCUGAAAGUAUUUUAGGUUCCUGAUGAGUGAAAAAUCUAUACCACGUUGCAGUACCGGCGAUUUAUGAUUUUCUCAGUCAUGGAGUUCAUUGUAGAGGAGGAAGAGGUUGUUUCUUUAUCUCAUCGCAAUUACAUGUUCAUGAUGGAGUCAGCACCGAUUUCUGUUGCUAUUUUUGCAUGAACAUGAAGGAUCGCUGCAUGAAUCAAUCUAUAUAGCAGUAUUUUUAAUCUCAGGUAUGGAAAUUCUAUUCCCAACGUAUGUCAAGCAUGGAUUGCAUUGAUCAUACCAAAGUCGUCGGCGGUACUUCGUUACUCAGCCAAAAUAUUAAAAAUAAAUGCAUGUAUUAUAUCACAUCCACUGUGUCAUCUGCUACGCAAAUUAAAAAGAUUUUCUUCAAUCGUUUACCGGUUUUCUAGUAUAUGGCAUACUACUAGAUCGGUUGAUAACUGAAUUCCCGGCAAACCCGAGGAGCGCUCAAUUUUAAAUCAAAGCACCUAAUUAGCACCUGAAAAGUAUAUCAUUUUCAUAUGCGUCAUA